rnacentral:rRNA from 1 species
GACGAACGCUGGCGGCGUGCCUAAUACAUGCAAGUAGAACGCUGAAGGAGGAGCUUGCUCUUCUGGAUGAGUUGCGAACGGGUGAGUAACGCGUAGGUAACCUGCCUGGUAGCGGGGGAUAACUAUUGGAAACGAUAGCUAAUACCGCAUAACAGUAGAUGUUGCAUGACAUUUACUUAAAAGGUGCAAUUGCAUCACUACCAGAUGGACCUGCGUUGUAUUAGCUAGUUGGUGGGGUAACGGCUCACCAAGGCGACGAUACAUAGCCGACCUGAGAGGGGGAUCGGCCACACUGGGACUGAGACACGGCCCAGACUCCUACGGGAGGCAGCAGUAGGGAAUCUUCGGCAAUGGACGGAAGUCUGACCGAGCAACGCCGCGUGAGUGAAGAAGGUUUUCGGAUCGUAAAGCUCUGUUGUAAGGGAAGAACGAGUGUGAGAGUGGAAAGUUCACACUGUGACGGUAUCUUACCAGAAAGGGACGGCUAACUACGUG